rnacentral:rRNA from 1 species
UGGCGGACGGGUGAGUAACGCGUGGGUAACCUGCCUCAUACAGGGGGAUAACAGUUAGAAAUGACUGCUAAUACCGCAUAAGACCACAGUGCCGCAUGGCACAGGGGCCAAAGCCUUGACGGUAUGAGAUGGACCCGCGUCUGAUUAGGUAGUUGGUGGGGUAACGGCCUACCAAGCCGACGAUCAGUAGCCGACCUGAGAGGGUGAACGGCCACAUUGGGACUGAGACACGGCCCAAACUCCUACGGGAGGCAGCAG